UUAAUAAAACAUUUGCAAGAUGACGUCUAAAAUUCCUGGGGCAUUUUAAGGACUUAAUGUUAUCAUUCAAGGAGUUCCAGAGUUUGGCUCCUCUGAAAGCAAAGGAGCGCUGCCCUGUUGACAGGCGACAUAAAGGUAUAUCCAAAGCACCAGAUGAUCGAGUUUGUCUAUUAUGGACUUGAGAACGUGAUUUAAACAUAUCAGCAAGAUAGUCUGGAACAAGCUUGUUAAUACAUUUGUGCAUCAUAGUAGCGUCAUUUAGAAUGAGUUUCUCUCUAAUAGGAAGCCAUUUCAACGAUCGCAACCCAUCCGAAAUAUGGUCAUACUUUCUUAGUCCCAGAAUAAUUCGCCCAGCAAAGUUUUGGACUUUUUGUAACUUGUCAAUAUUGCUGCUGCUGGUAUUACUCCAGACAGUUGAACAAUAUUGGAGUUUACUAAAGACAAAUGAAUUUAUUACUAACAGAAGUGUUUUCCUAUCCAGGAGGUGCUUGAUUCUGUUAAUUUGGUACAAUUUAAAAAGGCAUUCUAUUUGUUGAGAAAGCACUAACACGAUUAAUUUACUUUCUAAUACGUCUGUGCUCUUCGACAAGCCUCCUGUAUCAUUCACAAAAAAGAUCAUCUACUUCGAUCGUACCAAAAAUUAUUAAAGAGGUCUUGAAUUGAACUCGAUUGUUUACCCUUUUGCUUUUGGAAAAUCAAUCGAUUGUGACUUCCUUUCUAACACCACACAACCAUACUAAGACUAGGACACCUCCAUCUAAGUUACAGAGGGUAAAAAGGACAAGUAAAGUUGUCUUAAGAGCUUGUUCCACUAUCGUUUUCCGACGCAUUUUCCUCAUUCACUUAUUUCGCGGAAACCCUAACCGGCACGUAGCAGCGGUUAUUUGCAUCAAACAAAAAUUUGCAGAACAUGCGCAGAAAAAUUGCCUCUCUGCUGCGAUUAUCAGAAAUUGUCGGCUAUUCCAAUAUGACAGACUAUUCCAGAAACACCAGUUGCGAUUUAACAAUAGUCAAGCGACGUGACUGAACCAGAUUUGAACAUUAUUAUAUGCUCUACAUGUGAAUUUUCUUCUUGCACAUACCCAUAAUGCCUUGCGCCUUGGGGGGUAACCAGGAUGAAAAACAUGGCGUCUUGUGCUUCGAAAAGUAAGCCUUGCCUGAAAUAUCCAAAAGCCUACAAAGAAGUCUCUGGUUCAACAAAACCAAAACUAAAAGAGCUCUGUAGAGCUUUAACAAUUGAUUUUGAAAAGUUAAUUGGAAAAAAAACACUCGUAAAUGUCGUUUGCAAUGCUUUGAACAUAUCGACUUCUGGCUCUGUCAAGAGUAAACAUGACGCAGUGACUACGAAAAAAAACUGAUAUUCCAUCGCUUGCAUGCCUACAAAAGCUGAAAGACUGGUAGAAAAGCUUAAAAGGAGUCCCUCUGAUGAUGAAGGAGUGGAUUGUAAAAGAAUUCUUGAUAGGAUCUGGCUACAAACAACAAGCUGUUCGAAAAUAUAAGACGCUUCACUCGUGGGAACACAAGCAAGGAAUUCACUCUGUAAAGUAAGUCAAUCCUUCUUCAUUUUAAUAUUUCAUUUCUUUAAAUUUAUAUUCUUUCGUAUUAUUUCAGAGUCCAUUUAUUGCCAGAAUAUCAGAAAUAUUGGGCCCUUAGGGCGAGUUGUAACCCGUCGUUUUCGACAGACAGUGAAGAGAGCAAGUUGAUGUACUUGGUCCUAGAACGGUCAACUGGCAAGUCAGUUUUCUCGCACUGUACUUGUACAGUUGGAUUAAGAGGAGACUGCAGUCAUAUUGGAGCUCUCAUGUUCAUGUUGUGUGAUGUUGUGGCAGAGGGACAGCAACAGCUUCCUCCUGAUCCUACAUGCACUGAUUUACCUUGUUCUUGGUUUAACCCUUAAGACAAGUUCCUUGCAGCUUAUCAGGGAGAGAAAUGACCAUGUAAGCAGUCCUCGCCAGCUGGUUCGACUCCUGACCAAGGAUGACUGAGGUGAUGAAGAUAACGGCAAAACGAAGAGUUCAAGAGAAUAAACUGAAAUCAACGAAUGCGAAAGAAACUCUGCAAAGAUAAGAACUUUGAUGUUAAUUGUAUUCUUGUAUAAAAAUGGUGGCUGCCUAAAUGUCAAGAUUGGCUUGUGAACCUCAGCUGAUUGAAUUGUCUUGUAAAAUACUAAAGGGAAACGGAGGAGUAAAAGAAGGCGAGGAGGCAUUCUUCGUGUACGACUUGUUUGAGGUGAUGGCAGCCACCAUUUAAGUUGGAUAUUUUAAGGUGGCACUGUAAGGUAAAUGGCUUUUGAAAGAAGAAAUAUGAAAAUUAAAACACGUACAGAUUCUCCUAUCAGUUUUAUAAAAUUAGAACUAAGUAUUCGAAUUUUCUAAGAAAAUGUUUUUAUCUUUGAUAUCACAACAAACAUUUUCUGGAAACAAGUCAAUGUUCUUGUUUUUGAUAAUUUUUUAUGUGGAGAAUUAGGAUUCUUAAAGGAUAAUUGAUCUGCUCUUUUGUCAAUACAAUAAUCAGUGCCGCCUUAGAUGAUUCACACAUUUUCUUUGUAGUUUUAUUAGUAAUAGACAAGAGAACGUUGACAACAUAGAAUGCUUUGGGAAACUAUUCAAAAUGAGUUUUCGUCUGAUUGGCGUAAAAGGAUAGCUACGUCCUUUUCAUUUGUUAUGAAACAAUCCCACUUUGGUGACGCUACGUUAACGAUACAUUUACCGCCCUACACAACGGCGAAAUGACAAAACAGAACACUUAACAUUAAGUUCAUUUAAAAAGGACGAGAAAUAGAAAACAUCCUUUUUCAAACCUUACCUGAAACCAACAGAUUAAUCAGACGUAUAAUUCUAUAAUCCGAGAUCGCAUCAAGUUAUAAAUAUUAAAUUCUAAAGAGACGAGUUUGCGAAGUUGGCAACACGCCUGAAAAUUUAUCCGUCGUAAAGAAAAAUACCGUAAAGGUUUUUUUAAAAAGAAAAAAAACUUCAGUUUUAUCAGACGAAAACAAAACUCACUUCGACCUUCGGAAACAACCGAAACGGAAGCCAGCUCAACUGCUAAGAGGAAUCGUAGCGUAAACAAUUACAUGAUCAAUGUCUUCGACUAACGACCCAUACUACUGCUUGACGUUUAACCCAAGACUCUAGCUUUUUUCGUGGACUUAUUUGGACAGGUGCAUGUCUAUUAACUUACAACAGAGCACAGAUGACAUUAAAAAUGAUUAGCAAGUAUAGACAGACAGCUUUCAAAAAUACCUGUGGACAAAAUAACAUAAGAAAUGAUACGAAAGGAACGACCUUAAUUGACCAAUGACAAAUGAUAACGACUGGUGAUUCUUGCAGCCAAUCAUAUCUCGGAGAAAUGGACCCUGAUUUUGGGGGCAAAGAACUGUUCUCUUACUUUCGCAUUGACCAUUAAAUAGCUAAUUGAGGAACAAAAAGAUUUGGCGAGAGUACCAUAUAACCCCAACAUUAAUUAUGCAUUCAGACUAGUAGACUUUGUUUUCAAAGUUUUGUCGUGACA